GACUUCCGCUUCACUUCGCUAUCUGCCCUAGAAAGGGAACUCAGAGGGGACUCACUGGCGAAAGGAGCUCCAGAUGGCGGGGAGCCAACCUGGGGCGAUCCCCAGCGCCCACUUUCACCGUCUGGACCCCAGCAAACCGCCCUGUGGCCCUUGGUCCCGUCUUCAGCAGCUCCUUCUGGGGUCCCACACCUUCGGAGCCCGGCCCUGCCCCUGAGUCUCUGGAGAGAGCGAGUCAGCGGCUCGCCACCGCGGGGCUCCCGUUUGCCUAGCACGCCAGUUUCUGUCCAGUUUCACCCCAAAUCCCCACCUCGCCCCACCCCCGAACCUCACGGCCACCCUGAGGAGGCUUGACUUGUGACAUCCGCCCCUCUUCACGGCUGAGGAACUUUGGCUCCGAGCGAGGAAGCGACCGGCCCACGGCCACACGCCCGGAGUGGGUAAAUAUCUACUCAUGGGAUUGCUGGGCUGUAUGGGUGCAGCAUCUUCUACUAUGUGCAUCUACAUUGGAUGGCAGUGGAGCAACACAGAUUGUUUUCUGACAAAAAUCAGCCAAGUACUAGGAGAGGCAGGACUUUAGAAGUGGAGGAGAUGGAGAAGGAAGAUUAGGUUACUACGAAGUGUGCAAAAAGGUCCUGUGGAUUUAGAUAACACCACACACAAACGCUGUUGUUGGAAAGUAGCUGCCCAGAUAAGGACUGUAUUUCCUCUAGCAUUGAGAUGGGACCAAAUGACUGCUGGCCAAUAGAACUGAGUGGAAGGAUUGACUCCAGUUCCAGGUUAGGCCUCCAGCUGCUCUGGGCAUGUCGAUGGAACAGAACCACCACCUCUACCCCAUUGCCACCAAUUCAACUUUACAUGAAUUAUAAGCAAGAAAUAAACUUGGACUGUGUUAAGCCAUUGAGUUUCUAGGGUUUAACUGUUUUUAUAGUUAAGAAUGACUUUAACUAAUAUAGUCAAUGACAUCUAA